UUCGCAAUGCCCGAAAGGGUGACGAAGCGACGCCGCGUGGGUGAAGAAGGCCUUCGGGUUGUAAAGCCCUGUCAGGAGUUAUGAAAUGUAGGUGCGAUAAUACCGUGCCUAUUUGACAAAGGCUCCAAAGGAAGCCACGGCUAACUCUGUGCAAGCAGCCGCGGUAAUACAGAGGUGGCAAGCGUUGUUCGGAAUUAUUGGGCGUAAAGAGCACGUAGGUGGGUUUGUAAGUCAGAUGUGAAAGCCUUCUGUUCAACGGAAGAAUUGCAUCUGAAACUGCGAGUCUUGAGUGUAGGAGGGGAGAAUGGAACUUCUGGUGGAGCGGUGAAAUGCGUAGAUAUCAGAAGGAACGCCGGCGGCGAAAGCGAUUCUCUGGCCUAUUACUGACACUGAGUGUGCGAAAGCAAGGGGAGCAAACGGGAUUAGAUACCCCGGUAGUCCUAGCCGUAAACGAUGGGCACUAAGUAGAGGGGUUUU
rnacentral:rRNA from 1 species